rnacentral:misc_RNA from 1 species
GCUGACUUCUGGCAUGACCAAGGUAAAAUCUAAAAUUUUUGCAUUCAAAGCUUUUGCUGUGUUUCUUAUCACUGAAAUAUCCUUGAAAGAUUUGAAGCAGCAUAUUUGCCUGUUUUUUAGUAUGAUAACUUAGGUUGGACAAUCGUUCUGCAUGGUCAAGGAAUUAAAUGUUGAUUAUUCUGCAUCUCUCCCUUGAACAUGGUGCUUCUUUCUGUGUGUGUGUGAGGCAAACAUGUACAUGCACACAUGUUUAAAUUGAUAAGAAAAAUAAUUGAAUACUAAAAAAUAUUAAGUAAAAACCUUUUUAUUCUUGAAUCAAUUUUGAACUUUGCAUUUUAAGGGCAGUUGGAAACCUCCAACAUGUGUGAUGUUUAGUUCCUUCUCACAAAAGAAUCUGUAUAUUCAGAGUAAUAUUUGGCAGUUUUAUCAACACUAUGCAGGCAGACACUCCAAUUCUUGGCCUUGUAGAGAUGGGUGAAGGUCGUAUUGCAGUUUAUGGAGACUCCAAUUGUUUGGAUAGCAGCCAUAUGGUUACUAAUUGUUACUGGCUUUUGAAGAAAAUAUUGGACUUCAGCAGUGCGAACACUAGAGAUCCAUUGCUCUUUUC